GAUCCACUAGCUCAGUAGGUAGAGCACCUGACUUUUAAUCAGGGUGUCCCGCGUUCGAGUCGCGGGUGGAUCACCA
rnacentral:tRNA from 1 species